AAGAGAGAAGCAUAGGUGGUUAAUGCGGUUGGCUUGAAACCAGUAUAUGAGGGUUCGAUUCCUUCCUCUCUUG
rnacentral:tRNA from 1 species